rnacentral:misc_RNA from 1 species
GAUGAAGAACGCAGCGAAAUGCGAUAAGUAAUGUGAAUUGCAGAAUUCAGUGAAUCAUCGAAUCUUUGAACGCAUCUUGCGCUCCUUGGUAUUCUGAGGAGCAUGCCUGUUUGAGUGUCAUUAAAUUCUCAACUACACUGACUUUGAAUUGGUGUGGCUUGGAUUUGGGGGGAAAAUUGUUGUGGGCUUUUUGUAUAGUCUCCUCCCCUGAAAUUGAUUAGCGGUACCUUUGUGGAACUGUCUACAGGUGUGAUAAUUAUCUACAUCUUAGACAUCUGCUGGAAUGCUGCUUUCUAAACCUUACUUGUAUUGACAAUCUUGACCUCAAAUCAGGUAGGACUACCCGCUGAACUUAAGCAUAUCAAUAAGCGGAGGA